AGUGGGAUAACUGAGUCAAAUGGUGGUUCCAUUCUAAAAGUUUUCUGAGGAAUCUCCUUAUUGCUUUCCAGAGUGGUUGCACCAAUUUGUAGUACCACCAGUAAU
rnacentral:pre_miRNA from 1 species